UGGAUAGUGGCUUCAUGAUGAUGGAGGGA
rnacentral:piRNA from 1 species